AAUAUUGGACAAUGGGCGAAAGCCUGACCCAGCCAUGCCGCGUGUGUGAAGAAGGUCUUACGAUUGUAAAGCACUCUAAGUUCGGAGGAAGGUGUUGACGCUAACACCUUCAAUCUUUGACGUUACCAACAGAAUUAUCACAGGCUAACACUUUUCCAGUAGCCGCGGUAAUACGAAGGGUGCAAGCGUUAAUCGGAAUUACUGGGCGUAAAACGCGAGUAGGUGGUUUGUUAAGUUGGAAGUGAAAGACCCGGGCUCAACCUGGGAACUGCUUUCAAAACUGGCAAGCUAGAGUAUGGCAGAGGGUGGUGGAAUUUCCUGUGUAGCGGUGAAAUGCGUAGAUAUAGGAAGGAACACCAGUGGCGAAGGCGAACACCUGGACUAAUACUGACACUGAGGUGCGAAAGCGUGGGGAGCAAACAGG
rnacentral:rRNA from 1 species